CAAACAAACCUCUAUCUUCCUGUAGCUUGUACCCAACUUUAUUCUCUGGAAUUAAUGGCAAAUUUGGCAAUAAUCAGCGGCGUCGCGCCGUGCAUAAUAAUGAAAAAGGCACUCACCAUACCCAGGCGAGUGCGAGUACUAUCCCCCAGUUGGCCCCCCCGGUCCCGCCAUAAUUCUAAUGUCGACCCAGACAUGCCGCAGUCACACGUUCAAAUUACCCCAAUUCCGUGCGGGCAGCAGCGACAUCGGCAGCAAAUAUGUAAAAAAGUGUUCAUAAAUGAAAUGUGAGGGACUGUGGGCAUCGACAUGGCUGUGGCAUGGGUAGGGGGCGUGUACAAGACUCAUGGGAAUGGCUCCUCCCCCUCCUCCCCACAAUCAAGCUUUGAUUCAGCAUUGUGUCUGCCUGCCCCACUGAUGGUCUGCCCGACUGUCUGUCGGACACUUGUCUUAGACCAUUUUUCAUUUCAUUUCCAUUUGCCAAUCUCCGAUUCCCAGUCUCAGCUCAGCAGUGGCCUGCUUUUGGCUGUUGCGCUUUUUGGCAUGAGAAGAAGAUUGGAGGAGACUCAUUUCAUUUGACAGGAAUAUUUUCGCUGAAUUAUCGUAAAUAAGUAUAUACAAUGGUGAU